rnacentral:tRNA from 1 species
AGCGAGCGUAGUUCAAUGGUAAAACAUCUCCUUGCCAAGGAGAAGGCACGGGUUCGAUUCCCGUCGCUCGC